rnacentral:rRNA from 1 species
GACGAACGCUGGCGGCGUGCUUAACACAUGCAAGUCGUACGGUAAGGCCCUUUCGGGGGUACACGAGUGGCGAACGGGUGAGUAACACGUGAGUAACCUGCCCACAACUUUGGGAUAACGCUAGGAAACUGGUGCUAAUACUGGAUAUGUGCUCCUGCUGCAUGGUGGGGGUUGGAAAGCUCCGGCGGUUGUGGAUGGACUCGCGGCCUAUCAGCUUGUUGGUGGGGUAGUGGCCUACCAAGGCGGCGACGGGUAGCCGGCCUGAGAGGGUGACCGGCCACAUUGGGACUGAGAUACGGCCCAGACUCCUACGGGAGGCAGCAGUGGGGAAUAUUGCACAGUGGGCGCAAGCCUGAUGCAGCAACGCCGCGUGCGGGAUGACGGCCUUCGGGUUGUAAACCGCUUUCAGCAGGGACGAAGCUUUUUGUGACGGUACCUGCAGAAGAAGCACCGGCUAACUACGUG